rnacentral:rRNA from 1 species
GUGCAAGCGUGUAGGAAUAUCCGGUAGGCAAAUCCGCCGGACGAAUCUGAGACGCGAGUCCGUGGGCGCAAGCCCUGAAGCCGUUGAGUCUAUGCUGCCUAGAAAAGCUCCUAAGUUUAUCCACAGCAAUCCGUACCGCAAACCGACACAGGUGGGUGGGAUGAACAAUCCAAGGCGCUCGAGAGAACUCUGGCCAAGGAACUCGGCAAAAUAACCCCGUAACUUCGGAAGAAGGGGUGCUCUCUAGGGUGACAUGUUUAACAUAUGAAGCCCCGGGGAGCCGCAGUGAAUUGGUGGUGGCGACUGUUUACUAAAAACAUAGGUCUGUGCGAAGUCCUAAAGACGACGUAUACGGACUGACGCCUGCCCGGUGCUGGAAGGUUAAAAGGAGGGGUCAGCGCAAGCAAAGCUCCGAAUUGAAGCCCCAGUAAACGGCGGCCGUAACUAUAACGGUCCUAAGGUAGCGAAAUUCCUUGUCGGGUAAGUUCCGACCUGCACGAAUGGCGUAACGAUCUCCACACUGUCUCGGCCAGAGACUCGGUGAAAUUGCAGUCGCGGUGAAAAUUCCGUGUACCCGCAGAAAGACGGAAAGACCCUGUGCACCUUUACUAUAGCUUGACAUUGGAUUUUGGGCCUGCAUGUGUAGGAUAGGUGGGAGGCUGUGAACCCUGUACGCCAGUAUGGGGGGAGCCAUCCUUGAAAUACCACCCUUGCAUGUUUAAGAUCCUAACUUCUUCCGGUUAUCCCGGAGAAAGACAGUGUCUGGCGGGUAGUUUGACUGGGGCGGUCGCCUCCUAAAGUGUAACGGAGGCAUGCAAAGGUUCCCUCAGCCUGAUCGGAAACCAGGCGCUGAGUGCAAACGCAUAAGGGAGCUUGACUGUAAGAGAGACAUCUCGAACAGGAACGAAAGUUGGCGUUAGUGAUCCGGUGGUCCCGAAUGGAAGGGCCAUCGCUCAUUGGAUAAAAGGUACGCCGGGGAUAACAGGCUGAUCGCAUCCAAGAGUUCACAUCGACGAUGCGGUUUGGCACCUCGAUGUCGGCUCAUCACAUCCUGGGGCUGAAGCAGGUCCCAAGGGUACGGCUGUUCGCCGUUUAAAGUGGUACGCGAGCUGGGUUU